UACGAAGGGGGCUAGCGUUGCUCGGAAUUACUGGGCGUAAAGCGCACGUAGGCGGCUCUUUAAGUCGGGGGUGAAAUCCUGGAGCUCAACUCCAGAACUGCCUUCGAUACUGGAGAGCUCGAGUCCGGGAGAGGUGAGUGGAACUGCGAGUGUAGAGGUGAAAUUCGUAGAUAUUCGCAAGAACACCGGUGGCGAAGGCGGGUCUCUGGGCCGAUACUGACGCUGAGGAGCGAAAGCGUGGGGAGCGAACAGG
rnacentral:rRNA from 1 species